rnacentral:tRNA from 1 species
GUAGUUGUGGCUGAGUGGUGAAGGCGAUAGACUAGAUAUCCAUUGGGGUUUCCCUGCACAUGUUCGAAUCCUGCCAACUACG